UGAUGCGGCGGCCCAGCCGCUCUGUUUCCCUGCACAGACUGAUCUCUGCGAUGCGAAGGUAACGCUCCGAUG
rnacentral:snoRNA from 1 species